CCCGGCGGGAGGCGCGGGGAGCCCCGGGGCGGCCGGGCUGCGGCAUCUCCGCGGGCGCGGGGAGAAGGCUCCGGAGCGGGGCGCGGCCUCGCGCCCACCGCUACCCCGCCGGGGGGAGGGGGGCGCGCCCGUGUGUGUGAGUGUGAGUGAGUGUGAGUGAGUGUGAGCGUGUCCCCGUCCUGCAGCCUCCAGGGCUCUUCCCUGGCCUCACCCCGCCCCCCGCGCUCCCUUCCCGCCCGGCACCGUCUGCGAACGUUUCCGAGAAGUCCCUGUGGCGGUUUGGUGGGAAGCGGGGGGAGGGCCCCAGGCCCGAGGGCACAGGCCGGGCCGGGGUCUGCGGGGCCCGGAGGAUUCGGGCUGCGAAUCGGUUCCUUCUCCCAGGCUUUGCCCAAGGAGACCGGAGAGGUGUGCGGAGGAGUCAGUGGCCGCGGCUGCAGGGGGAGACGUAGGUAGGGGAGAGGCUGCCUUCGCAGACCUGGACCCGCGCGUCUGGAUCCAUCGUCGGUCAUAGAGGUUCCAAGUUUAGAGCUGGUUCUUUUCUUGCAGAAGCCUUAGACUAGACUAGGUUAGCCAAUAUAUGAAACAUUUGUGUGUAGACAUUAGGCAACAUGAUACAGAAGACUGAUCACUGAGAGAAAGGACGUAAACAAGGUGAGUCCUAUGAUGGUCCCAACGUACUACGUGAGAUUCGUUUACAGACUGUAGCACAGGAAGGGGGAAAUAGGAAAAGAGCCCUGCAGUGUCCUUGAAUUGAGAAGGUGGAAACUGGAGUUUGAGAAGCUGAAGCAUCUCAAAUUUGUAGGACAGAGUACCAUAGAGAAGAAACCUAUACAGAGAUCUGAGGAGUACCCUCAGGUUUUUGGUGGAUACUGACAUGUGGUGGUGUGAGAACCCAAAUACCUAAGGCCAGGGAAAGAAUUAAUGGAAAACUGUAGGUCACAAAAUCCCUGGAUAUCACACAGCUAGAAAUAAUUUGCAUUUCCCCCAGCCAAAGUAGAAAAACUUCAUCAUAACAUGAGAUAUUGCAGAGUCCUUAGAAGAGUAUUAUCUUAGUAAUGAGGCUAUAUUAGUUUUGAAUUAAAGCUGCUUUGGAUUUACAAUAACAAAGCUUUAAAGCAAUACUUAAAAGGACCCAAUUGAUUUCAACUUGCUUAAAUUCUAGCCAGAAUAAAGUCCAACACUUUCUAAAGUAUUUAAUGAUAUAAAAUUAACACUGACUAGCAUCCGAUUUAAAAGCUUACCAGGC
rnacentral:lncRNA from 1 species